GAUGAACGCUGGCGGCGUGCCUAAUACAUGCAAGUCGAGCGAACAGAUGAGGAGCUUGCUCCUCUGACGUUAGCGGCGGACGGGUGAGUAACACGUGGAUAACCUACCUAUAAGACUGGGAUAACUUCGGGAAACCUGAGCUAAUACCGGAUAAUAUAUUGAACCGCAUGGUUCAAUAGUGAAAGACGGUUUUGCUGUCACUUAUAGAUGGAUCCGCGCCGCAUUAGCUAGUUGGUAAGGUAACGGCUUACCAAGGCAACGAUGCGUAGCCGCCCUGAGAGGGUGAUCGGCCACACUGGAACUGAGACACGGUCCAGACUCCCACGGGAGGCAGCAGUAGGGAAUCUUCCGCAAUGGGCGAAAGCCUGACGGAGCAACGCCGCGUGAGUGAUGAAGGUCUUCGGAUCGUAAAACUCUGUUAUUAGGGAAGAACAAAUGUGUAAGUAACUAUGCACGUCUUGACGGUACCUAAUCAGAAAGCCACGGCUAACUACGUG
rnacentral:rRNA from 1 species